UCCUUCUGUUGUCCAAUCUCCAGCUCACUUUUGCCAGCACCAACACGGGUUCAUCUAGUCUCCCCGACUUUCUGCAUUCUAUUCUUGCAUUCUUUUGGGGUGUUUUUGAUAUCUUUUUCUUUGCAUACAGGCCAUGUCUUGGACAUUGAGGUUUGGGUUCAGUUUUCUUUGUGUAAUCCAAGGGAUCGUAAAUCAUGCCAAAGCCAGGUGUCUUGCCACCACCAAAACAGGUUCUGAAUCCAAAUACGAAGAUGACAUCUGGCGUGGUCUUGUACAUUUUGGCUAGUUUUUUCCCGAAUUUCUGCCUUUCCAGGGUGAGGAACAUCAAUGACUAUUUGUUUCUGCUGAAGUACUCUGUUGGUCACGAACUUCCUUGUCCAGAUUGUUACUGUGUGGUUCGUGAUGACGGCCGAACUUCAGGCAGCCAGGGAGGAAAAGAGCUUAAAUGACAUCUUUAUGCUGAAGAUGCCCAAAUACAUACUUUCAGUCUGGAUCAUCUCCCCUAAACCCCAGACUUAUACAUCCUGCAACCUGCUCGGUAUUUCCAUUGGCUUUCUAAUAGGCAUCUCAAUGUGAUAUGUCCAAAACGGAGUCCCGAUCUUCCCUGUUAAAAUGGUGCCUCCCACGGUCUCCUUCUCAGGUCCUAGCAGUGCCAUCCUUCCUGCUACCAGCUGAUCUAAGUACUAUCACCUCUCAUCUGGGUCAUUGCAGGAGUCCCCUUGUAGAUCUCCUUUUCUCUGUCUUGUGCCCUUCAGUCUCUUCCCAGUACAGCACAAGUCAUCCUGUUAAGAUGUGCACAAGAUCAUGUCACCUGUCUGCUCAAAACCCACCAAUACCUUCCAUUUCAGAGCAAAAGGCAAACAAACUGUGUUUAUUUAUUAGAGAGAGAGUGUAAGCACAAGCAGGGGGAGGGGCAGAGGGAGAGGGAAAGAGAGAGAGAGAAUCUCCAGCAGACUGAGGACUUGCCUUGCAGGGCUCGAUCCCAUGACCCUGAGAUCAUGACCUGAGCCAAAAUCAAGAGUCAGAUGCUCAAUCGACUGAGCUACCCAUGCACCCUGAAAGCCAGAGCCUUUUAAUGAUGAGAAGUCUUCCAGUGGCCAACUCCCUCCUUCCAUCCUCUAGGCCUUUACCCACCUAGUUCAGUCUGGAACUCUGCCUCCCCCACCCCUCCUGUCCUCACAACGUGCCCAUUCUUUCUAACAUGCUCUACAUUUUACUUAUUUUAUUCAUAGUCUGUCCACUCAACAGAGCGAGGACUUCGUGAGGACAGGGAUUUUGGUCUGCUAGGUUCCCUGCUGAAUUCUAAGCAGCUAGACCAGUCCCUGGCACUGUGUAGGUGCCAAGGGACCAAGAUGUUUGACCUGGGUCUUGACAAUUUAAGGAAGGUAGAACUGACAGUGAGUGGAGAAACACGCUCUGUGGAAGCCCAGUGGUCUGAGAGCACAGGAAAUGGCAGAUCCAAUAGUUAACUGCACAGAUAUCCAUGGACCACCCCUUACAGCACACAGGCCAUGGUAGGGAGUAGAUAUGAAAUGUAACAAGCUCAGGAUGGCCAAAUCCAGCGUAAGGAGUGAGAGCCACGGUCCUUGUCCUGCUGCUUGUUUAUGACUUUGCACAACUUCCUUUCUCUCUCUGGGCCUCACCUUCAUCAUUGAGAAAAAUAAGAGGGCUGGGGUCUGAUGCACAUUUCAGGAGGAGUUCCAAAGAGUUCACACCAUUAAAAGUGAAUAUGGUACCCAUCUUAAUUUCUUUUUCAAUCAAUAAAUAUUGUAUUAUAUUCCCCUUUCAAAUAGUGACAUGGAAUGCCUCCAAUGAUGUAUGGGGUGCUCAUGAGUGGAUGACCACAGAUAGCUAAUGAGCAUGCUCAGGUGAACAUCAUUAGCCAUUGUCAUGGUUUUGGGGUUUUUUUCCAUGUACCCUGAAAGAGGUUAAAUUGUUGUUAAUCUUAGUUAUUUAUAUAUUGUUCAACUUAUAGCCAUAUUGGACCAUGAGGAAGUAGGAAGAGCAUUGUUAGCUAUACUACAAAAACCUGAUGCUGAGGAAUGAUAAUUUUGCAAAUUUGCCUCAAGUUGAUCCUCAUUGGAAAAGAAUAAUAUAGUUUUUUAAUUAAAAAGUCAUUAGUCUGGGGCACCUGGGGGCCUCAGUGGU